CAAUAAAUACAUCAAGUCUUGACCUAGACAAGUGAGGAAGGACUUUUACCUAACAGUAAAAUUACCUGCCAAUAAGUACACCAAGUCUUGACCUAGACAA